AACGAACGCUGGCGGCAGGCUUAACACAUGCAAGUCGAGCGCCCCGCAAGGGGAGCGGCAGACGGGUGAGUAACGCGUGGGAAUCUACCCAUCUCUACGGAAUAACGCAUGGAAACGUGUGCUAAUACCGUAUACGUCCUUCGGGAGAAAGAUUUAUCGGAGAUGGAUGAGCCCGCGUUGGAUUAGCUAGUUGGUGGGGUAAAGGCCUACCAAGGCGACGAUCCAUAGCUGGUCUGAGAGGAUGAUCAGCCACACUGGGACUGAGACACGGCCCAGACUCCUACGGGAGGCAGCAGUGGGGAAUAUUGGACAAUGGGCGCAAGCCUGAUCCAGCUAUGCCGCGUGAGUGAUGAAGGCCUUAGGGUUGUAAAGCUCUUUCGCCGGUGAAGAUAAUGACGGUAACCGGAGAAGAAGCCCCGGCUAACUUCGUGCCAGCAGCCGCAGUAAUAC
rnacentral:rRNA from 1 species